UACGGAGGGUGCAAGCGUUAUCCGGAUUCACUGGGUUUAAAGGGUGCGUAGGCGGGCAGGUAAGUCCGUGGUGAAAUCUCUGAGCUUAACUCAGAAACUGCCAUGGAUACUAUUUGUCUUGAAUAUUGUGGAGGUAAGCGGAAUAUGUCAUGUAGCGGUGAAAUGCUUAGAUAUGACAUAGAACACCAAUUGCGAAGGCAGCUUACUACAACAGUUAUUGACGCUGAGGCACGAAAGCGUGGGGAUCAAACAGGA
rnacentral:rRNA from 1 species